rnacentral:lncRNA from 1 species
GUCUGCUCCAUCUGGACAUAAACAUCUGACAGUGGAAGAAUUGUUUGGAACUUCUUUGCCAAAAGAACAACCAGCAGUUAUGGGUCUGGAUUCAGAAGAAGUAGAGAAGCUCGCAGGAGAUGCCACCCAGAAAGAGCCCAGCUCGUUCCUACCAUUUCCCUUUGAGCAUUCUGGAGAAGCCGCUCAGUUGGAAAACCUAAGUGUCCAUUCAGCUGCUCACCACACAGUCCAACCUGAAGUCUCUACUCCGGUGCUCAUCACUCCAGCUUCAAUCACACAGUCUAGUGAAAGGCAUGCUCCAAGCUACACGAGCCCAUUGAGCCCCGUUCUCAGUCCCACUCUGCCACCUGAAGCUGCUACUACACAGGUUGCCCCUGCAUUACCUCGAAAUAGCACUAUGAUGCCUGCAAUGAAAACCACACCUAGGCAGAGGUCUCCACUGUUGAACCAGCCAAUCCAGGAGCUAAGCCACAGCAGUCUAAUUGCCAGCCAGAGCCCCUUCAGGGCCCCACUGAGUAUGACAAACACAGCUGGCACACCCCUCCCAAGUGUUGAUCUUCUGCAGAAACUCAGGUUGACUUCACAGCAUGACCAAAUACAGACACAGCCACUUGGGAAAGGUGCUGUAGCACCCAGCUUUCCUCCAGCAGCUGGCCAGCUGGCCACACCCGAGAGCUUCAUAGAGCCUCCCCCGAAGACAGCAGCCGCCAGAACAGUGGCCUCUGCCUCCCUGAGCAACAUGGUGCUUGCUCCCCUUCAGAUCCUGGCUGCUACACAUCUGAUCUUUGAAUAAGGUGCAAAUGAGGAAGAGACUCCCGAGACCCUUGGAAGACCCCUCAGUGUUUACCAGCCAGGCUCCACCUGAAAGAAGAGCUGGAAAGCAGGCAGCCACCUUGUCCCUGUGAGGGAAACCCACCUUUAAAGGAAGAUGAAGGGAGGCUGGGUGUGGUGGCUCACACCUGUAAUCCCAGAACUCAGGAAGCUGAGGCAGGAAGAUCAUUGUGAGUUCAAGACCAACCUGGACUAAAGUGAGCUGAAGGCCAGCCUGAACUGCAUAAUGAAACCCUGUCUCAAGAAGACAAACAAAAAAAAAAAAAAAAAAGAGGGGAAGUAACAACAGCUACAAUGGUCACCGAAUCAAACACAUCCUGGCCCAUGUUUGGGACAGUGCAGCUUGGGUAUCAGUCACAUGGAGCACGAAUUGCCCUGUUUUCUGAAGGGCCCAGAUCAGUUCAGGAUUCUGAACACCCUGGAGCUUGGUGAAUGAAGCUGGGUGAGAAGAAAAGGAGCCCAAGGGGAGCCAGUGCUGUCCACAGUGGUGAGGGGAUUGGACUCCCAGGUCCUUGAGAUCCUUAUGCACCUAUAUCUCAGGGUCCCUAGGCUCAUGUAGCCGAAUAUAAAGGCAGUAACAGGUGUUUUAUAACCACAGAGGUAGAAUGACGUGGGAGGAGAUGAGUUCCAUCAUGUUCAGCAAACUUCUUUUUCAGAGAAGUCCGAAUAAACUCGAAGUGCAAUUCCACAAGGAAUCAAAACUGGUAUUUGUCCCAUGGCUAUACUCUAUGUGCCUUCUCCUCUACCCUUCCACCCCUCUGGGAGGGAGAGCAUUUGAGUGUAACCUCAGAAAAGGCCCCAGAAGAGCAGAGGUGCACACUGCCUGUGACUGGAUUAGUAUCAGGCCAUCAGGCUGCAAAGGGCCCCAAGAGCUCGGAGACCCAAGAAUUAGAAGCCAGAAAAACAGCCAUCAUCAAGCAAAACCACUGAUUCUUACCAGAUCCUUCACUUUGAGCACAGAACAACAGAUCUGGUACUGCCUGAGCCCUGUGCCUCACCCUUAGCAAACCACAGCCCAUUUCCUGGGGAAGCUCAGGGGGUCGGGCACAGUUCCCUGCCUUCUGAAGCAGGUACAACACCCAGACCCCAUAGCUAUCUGCUCCACAGCCCCAUCUUCCUGUUUCUCUGGCGUGUGGCUUGCCCUGACUAGGCUUGUCCCCCACCCACUGCACACCCCCUGACACGGAUAGGCUUUCCUGGCUUCCGUCUGACCCCCAGCUCUCUGGGCAGAGAAGACGACUUCAGCAGGCACCUCACCUCCUUUCUAAACAGACAUUCUGUGAUUUCCCUAGAAAUUAUAGAGAAAAUAACCUAUGGCACCCCAAAGAUUUUCUAAAUGUUUAAAUAAUUAUUUUUAGUGUAUUUAAAUUGUUUUGAAUAAACCUAAUUAUUUUAAUUAUGUUAAAGUAAUUGUGUGUAAAGGAGGAAUUUAGGAGUUAAAAUGACAAGUUGUAAAAUGGUAAUUGCCUGGGCACAGCUGUACAAAUUCUCAAGAUUGCCCCAGUGAGGACCCCUGGUCUCCACACUGACACCUCUCUCUGCCUCCCCGAAAAGCUUAUGUCCUGAGCCUGUCAGGGAGGCACCAUCACUCCCUGGCCAAGGCCUCCAGCCACUGACUACUCGGAGGCACCUGGGCUCUUGCCAACAUGGAUAUUGUCUGAAGGAGGCGACCUUAUUCAUGUUCCCAGAGGACGCACGUCAUAGUGGCCCAGGGAGCUGCUGUGGCCUGGUGCCUGUGAUCACACAGCACGUGCCUCGGGAAGCAAUGCCAUGCUGGGAGGACACACAGAGAAGCUGUUUGUCCUCCUCUCUCCUGACCAUCAGACCAGGAGGGGCGGCUGUUCUGUACCAAACACGGUACCUGACAGGAACCACAGCAGCUCG